GUGCCCUGCAGGCGCUGAGCGCAGGCCCAGACUCAAGCUACUUCAUCUCACCAACAUCAGAGAGAAUCCACAGCAGAUGGGCUCUGAGUUGCCCCAGAGAGAGGAAGGAAGUGAAAGAUAGAAACAUCACUGAUGAGAGAAUCAUGGACC